GGUUGGCUCUUCUUAACCAUGUGCAGGCAGCUGCGGAAAUGGACUUCCGACCAAGUCGGAUGGUUGUAGUUGCAAAACAAGUAGAAGCCUUCAUUAGAGAGUUCUUUGAUCAGAACCCACUUAGUCAUAUUGGCCUGGUAACUAUAAAAGAUGGGGUUGCUCAGUGCUUAACAGAUUUAGGUGGCAGUCCAGAAUCCCAUGUAAAGGCAUUGAUGGGUAAACUGGAGUGCUCAGUACCUGCGAUCCAGGGGAUGUAAUGGAGACUAUCCAGAAAUGCAAGAAAUCCAAAAUAAGGUGUUCAGUUGUUGGUCUUUCUGCAGAAAUUUAUAUAUGUAAACAUCUUUGUCAAGAAACUGGAGGAUUAUAUACGGUGGCACUGGAUGAGUCACAUUUUAAAGAGUUGUUGCUGGAGCAUGCUCCUCCACCUCCUGCAAUCGCAGAAUUUGCUGUUGCUAAUUUGAUCGAGAUGGGCUUCCCACAAAGAGCAGCAGAGGGUUUUG